GGGAGUAUAGCUCAGUGGUAGAGCACAUGCAUAGCGUGCACAAGGUCCUAGGUUCAAGUCCCAGUACCUCCA
rnacentral:tRNA from 1 species